UUUUGGAAUUCUGGGAGUAUGGAAGAAGUCAGAAGGAUCAUUUUGGAAAGGUGGGGAAUCAGUGGGCUAAGGAGUGUCAAGUGUAUGAACUUAAAAUAUGUCCUGCAGGAGUGUUCCCUGUGGUUCCUUCAUGGUUACUGGAGACCCCUCCUGUGCACUGGUACUUGCUGGAUCUGAAGAGAAAAUUGAAAGGAAGAGUCGAUCUUGUUUCAGCAUUUCAUUUUCACAGCUUGAAUGAAUACCCUGAGUGUAUUCAUGUGUUCACGGAUGAUGCUAAAAGUCCAGAUACAGGAAUUACAGGGUUUGGAAUAGCAGUUCCGUCAAAAAAUAUUGAAAUAAACAGACGCACUCCGGAUGGACUGGCAGUGUACACGGUUGAAAUGGUAGCAAUUUUGGUAGCAUUGAAAUGGGUAGAGUGUUCAAAAAUCAGGCAGGUGGUAGUGUGUUCUGACUCGGCAGCUGUUCUUUCAAGUCUACAAUCAUUUUGUUCGAAGACAAGGCAGGGUAUGCUGUAUAUUAUUCUGGAGACUAUAAGCAGAAUAAGGUGUUGUGGUGGCAAUAUUCAGUUUCUUUGGGUGCCAGCUCAUGUAGGAAUCAGUGGAAAUGAAAAGGUGGAUAGGUUGGCAAAAGGAGCGUUGACUAACUAGGACUGAGAUGGAAAUUAAAAGCAGCGGAUCUGAAGCAAAAGGUAUUGUUUGGAGAUGAUGGGAGAACAUCAGACAGGGCUUUGUGGAGUGUGCCAGGAGGAGGAGGAGAUGGUAGAGCAUGUAAUACUGCGGUGCAAGGGUUAUGAUGUGGAGAGGAAAGUUCUGCAGAAUAGAUUGAAGGAGCGGGGAAUUGAGGAAUUUAAUCUGUGUGUUGGAGGGUAGUAGGGCACAGGUGAGGGAACUGGUGGGGUUUCUGAAGGAUAUAGGUGUUUAUGAAAGAGUGUAGGGUCUUUUUUUUUUUGGUUUUGUAUUGUUUUUUUGGAUACAGAUUGUAAGUCACUGCUGUCAGACUCCAUAAUAAAGACUUUAACUGAUCAAGCACACACAUCCAUACAUAUGCAAUAAUACUAAGUGCAAUAAUCCUUUCUGUCAUCGUUGUAUUUUUACUCAGUUGUAUAUAGUAUUUGUAUUUGUAUUCUAUUUUUAUCUUAUUGUAUAUUUAUUUUAUUUUAUUCUACUGUAUAUAGUAUUUUAUUUUAUUCUAUUCUGUACAGUUGUGUACUGUAUUUAUUCUUAUUGUAUUCUAAUUUUUGCCUCAUAACUUUUGCACUGUCCACUUCCUGCUGUGACAAAACAAAUUUCCCACGUGUGGGACUAAUAAAGGUUAUCUUAAGCUGUAAGUCUGACCCAUACUCCGGAACAGUAGGAGGCGGUAAUGCUCCUUUACGUUGGUUGCCAACCGCCGUUAAACACAAAGAGGAAGAAGUCACAGAUAGGCCUCUAGGCCUGUGUGCAUACUUGAUUGGCGUCGCAUCCACUGUCACAAGCCACAACUUCUGCCAGUGUUGCAUAUCUCAAUUUUUGCAACCUGGCAUGUUGUGUUGCUGCAACCAAAGGUUGGCUGAAGACACAGCUGUAAAGCCGUAUCAGUGUUUAACACUGUUUUUUAAUUCUAUAUCAGAACAGAAGCUCAGAGAUUUACAGAUUAUACAGAGGGAGAUGUUGCAAUGGUCAGAUGUGAGAAGUCAGAAUUUCUGAGUUCC
ensembl:lncRNA